GCGCUGGUGGUGUAGGGGUUAAGCACGCGACCAUGUUUAAAAGGCUAUAGUCCUUGAUGCAGCCGUCCCGGGUUUGAGUCCCGGACCUGGUGACCU